rnacentral:rRNA from 1 species
AGGACGAACGCUGGCGGCGUGCUUAACACAUGCAAGUCGAGCGGUAAGGCCUCUUCGGGGGUACACGAGCGGCGGACGGGUGAGUAACACGUGGGUAACCUACCCGGAAGUGGGGAAUACCUCGGGGAAACUCGAGCUAAUACCGCAUAACAUCUUCGGGACGAAAGUCCUGACGAUCAAAGCGGGGUCGCAAGAUCUCGCGCUACCGGAUGGGCCCGCGCCCGAUUAGCUAGUUGGUGAGGUAAUGGCUCACCAAGGCGACGAUCGGU